ACUUGGUAUUUCUCUCACACAGCAAGAAGCUUGUAGAUGGCCCUGCUGUUUGCAAAAUGCCAGGUUAGACAAGAGAAUCAAACCCCUGAAGCACGGCCUGGAUGGGCAGGACCUCCCGGGAACUGGCUUUACAGGAAGCCUUUUAAAAAAUAGAUCUUCACUUUGUACUGGUCCGAGUAGUCCUGAUUGGUGCGGAUUUGGUGGAGGCCUGGUUGUUUCUGCUAGGCUGUGCCACCGCUGCUGAUUUGUGUUUGCUAUCCUGACUCUACUGAACUGGAAUGCUGGUAUUCUGACAGUUGGAAAUUGAAAUCACCCCAAGGAACUACUAAACAGCCGAGCCUCGCAGCUUCUUCUGGAUUGAGCCGUAGCUGAUUCCUGUGAACUGGAUUGCUAACAUCCUGACAACACAGAUUGGAUUUGCUCCAAAGAACUAUUUCUAAACAGAGGCACUGGCUUGCUUGCUGUCAGAGAGAAUUAAAUUCUACUACUGAGCUACUUCGGAGAGUGUGUUCGGAAAGGCUGGGCUGUAGCUCAGUGGCAGCCUGCUUGCCCAGCAUGCACCAGGCUCCAGGUUCAAACCCAUGCUCCAUCCCAACACUGGGACGUAAAGGGAGGAGGAUCUCCCAGGAGUUCAAGGCUCAUCUUGAGCUACAAAGUGGCCAAGCAGUCUGCAUAGGAAGGUAGAUGCCAGGAAACAGAUGCUACCAAGCCUACAGUCAAGACCUUGUCUGUGUCCCCCUCUCAGAGGGUUGCCUGCCACCCACAGAGAAGCAGCAACUUGGUUCCUUCUCACGGAGCUCUCCUGCACUUGCUCACCUGUUCUCAAACUCUGAUUCUGUGGCUGUGUGGUACAGCUGAGGCAGGGGCAGUGCAGAGCGGCUAAGAGGAGGGGCGACUGAUCUUAGAGUCAGUGGAGUUGGAAUUCACAUUGUCUUUGUGGAGAUGGAAGUGUCAGGAGUUGCACAGGGGCAACAAGUGCAAAUGGGCUCACUGAUUGCCCCCUUGCCCCAUAUCCUUUAGUGGUGCCUGGGCCACAGCCUGUGGCCAUGCAGUUUGUAACAGUCAUGAAAAUCUAUAGAUAAAUCCAUUGUGUCACUUAGCCUGUGGCUGCAGAUGCCCAGAGGCCCUCUUCCCAAGCCUCACAAGGUGCCUAUGGCUAGAAGUGGCUGCAAGUGUAAUCAAAGGGUCCUGCCACUGAGCCCUGUGCAGUGUGUGCUGGAAACCUGGUUGCUAUGAUGAGGUGGGGCUCUCGGGAAGGAAUAAGUAAUGGGGUUGGGGAAGGCUCAACUAUUAUGAGCUGAUGUUGAUAUUAUAGAAGGCAGAGCAGGUUAUUUGCCAUGGGAACAGCUUAGUUAUCCCAGGAGUAAGCUGCUGAUAGAAGAAAGGUGGGGGUGGGGGUGGGGGUGGGGGUGGAGUGUUUCUUCUUGCUCAGUUGUUCUCUUGACAUGUGAUGCCUUUGCCAUAUUGUAAGGCAGCAUGAAGACCCUCAUAAAGUUCAGUCCCCAUGUCUGCGACUGCCCAGCCUUGAGAAUAAACCUGUGUUCUUUAUAAAUUAUCCAGCUGCAGGAUUCUGUUUUUGUAGCACCAGAUUCAGACUCCAGGCCUCAUCCUUGAUGUCGGUGAGUCCACUGAAACUUCCUCAGCACUAGUGAUGGCUCUUGUCACUCCAGUGCCAGCAGCCUGUGAUAGUGGAGAGCAUGGGUUUCAUCUUCUGGCUUCUCACAGUAACCCCAAGGUCCCA